GGACGGUUAGCUCGGUCAGUUGAGCGCGGCUCUGACAACGCCAAAGACACGGGUUCAAUUCCCAUUUGGUCCC
rnacentral:tRNA from 1 species